AACUUAACACCUAGAAACAAAAGUCGUUUUGAUCGGUCACUCAGUUUUAUCGUGCCACCUGCCCCUUCCCCUUAUUAAUAUCCCACUACUGUAGUUAUAAAAGUAGGAGUCUUGUUGCCAUUCUUUCAGUUAACCAAGUGUGAGGGGCUACAAAGAAUCAUAUAUAGAAGUUCACUCUGAGAAAACUCUUCAGAAACUUUCCCUUUUUUGUUAAACCUUUCUCCACAGAUCCAACAAAAUGAGCUCCGACCGAACAUGCAGUAGCUCCUCCUAGACUAAGGAGGAAGACAAAGCAUUUGAGAACAUCCAAGCUGUCUAUUCUAGAGAUAGCGAUUUACUGAUGAAGAUUACAAGAUCAGUUCCCCAGAAAUCUCUUCAAGAAAUUACUCAGCAUUAUAAUCACCUUGUUGAAGAUGUCAGCGACAUUGAAUUGGAAAAAGCCCCCUUACCAAAUAUGGGAAAAUGCAAAGAUGUUCCAGUCGUAAAAGUAGAUCAUUAGAAGCAGUGGUAGAACGGCGAAAAGGGAUUCCUUGGACUGCAGAAGAACACAGGUAAGGCUUUAUAACAUCUAACUAAAUUGAGGAUUAUUUAAUCUCUACAAUAAUGUGUUUCUAUGUUUACAGUUGGGGGUGUACAUGGACUGGGUUGGUUCGAAUUUUCAAAUGCCAAAUCAAACCAAUUGUGUCGGGUUUUUAAAUCUAUAAACCAAAUCAAACCAACAAAAUCGGGUUUUUCAACUUUCAGAUUUCUCGGGUUUCUCAAUUUUUUCAGGUUUUUCUUCGGAAAAGUCUUCGUACAAAAUAUAUAACUUCUAAUCUGUAACUAAAAUCAUUUCUGUUUAUAUAGUAUGUAUAGUAGAAUCUAAGUUGAUCUCGUGUGAAAUUUUUUAAUAAGAACCUGCUACUCAAAAAAUUUGGUGUCGGAAAAUAUGGAAGAAAGCCCCUCUGCUUUGGUUAGUAAUUUCUUCAAUUUUCUUUUCUUUUUCCUCAAGCAAAAUUAAAGGCGGUGCUUUUUUUUUUUUUUUUUUUUUUGUAUACCUUUGUCUUUUUCAUAGACGAGUGAAGUACAACGCGAUAAUAAUGUUGUAACGUAAGUCAUUGCGUCAUCGGGAAUAAUUGUUUUUCUCUCAAACAGAUGAGUGACGUGUCACAGACAUCAGAUUUAUAAAGACAACUCGUGCUGGAAACACUUGUGAAUUUGUUUCUGACGAACAGUCUAUAUAUAAUAUAAAGCUAGGAAUGAGAAAGGUGAUGUGGCACCUCUGAAAAGCAAGGAAAGUUAUUUAUCUUUUUUCUCAAUUUUUUGAGGUUUUCUUCUAAAUUUUCCUAUUAAUCUUAUUUUAGUAGGCAUUAAAGUUUCCUGCAUUCAAAUCAUUCAAUUAAUGUACAAAGCAAUUAACCAAUUGAAAAGAAAAAGACAUCAGUUCAAUUUUCAAGCCUCUAUUAUCUUCUAACAUUUACAUAUUUAUUCUGACACUAAUUAAGUGCUGGUAAUUAAAGAGUAGAAAUAUAAGGAAGAGAGAAAUAGAAUGAUCAGCGCACACCCAAAUUAUUAUGGACAACGAAUCAGAAGCAGCCAUGAACAUAUGAGAGUAAAGGCAUUAAUGUUUCUGGUGCAGAAUCAGUGCAAAGAAUGUAUUUGGUAAUUUUAACAAUCUCAGUUUUCUUAGUUUGUUUUAGGAAGUGAAAAAGAAAGAACUGGAGCAGCCAUGGAUUAUGUAUAUAAGAGUACAUGAUUUGAUAUUUUUGGUGUAGACUUGGUGCAAAGAAUGUAUUUUUAAUUUCAACCAUUUCAUAAAUUAUGAAUUUUUAAUUUUCUUGGUUUGUUAUAGGAAGUGAAAAAUAAAAAGAGGCUUUAGCAGGAGGUAUUUUCUAUAAUAUUAAGUAAUAUGUCUUGUCCUGAUCUUGAAUAAAUUAUCAAAAUUUCUUGAAUAAAAUUUUACUAUUGUAUUUAUGAUCUCCCUUUUUCUUUUGGCAGUUGAUGUCGUGUAUUAAGCUUUCGAGAAAGAUAUGACACGCCUCUCUAUGACUAGAAAUCUAGCAUUCACAUUUAUGUUUUUUCUCAUUUAUUUGGCUUUUUAUCUUAUUUUUCCACUUCUUUUUACUCAGUUUAUGUUAGGAAUCCAAAAGAUAUGUUGGAAAAAGAAAAAACAAUCCUAAAAGCCAUUAUUAAAGAAAAAUCAUUACUUGCAUUAGAGAACCUAAUUAAAUAAACAACCGUCUCUUCCAUUAGAAAUCCAAUGCCUCUAUUAAACAAUUGUAGGGAAGUUGUUCCGGUAAAAGCGUGGGAGUCAUUGAUAAAAUUGUAAGUUUUCUUCUUUAACUAUUCUAGCAGUCUUUAUGCCAACAACUUUUUAGCUUUUUCAUAUUUCCAUUUAAUGCAAUAGUUUGUUUUCUUUUGCUUCUGUCAUUGGCAGAGGCGGAUUCAGUAUUUUAACUUUAUGAGUACCGUCUUUUAAGGUUUUUCGUAUUAACUCAUUGUAUUUUUAAAGUUAAUAGGUUCUUUUCAUAUUUUUUGUAAUUUUAGUGAAUUAUUAUAUAAAUUUAUACUCCGUAUCGAAAGUAUACCAUAAUGGUGGAUCCGUCCCUAAACACUGAAUCAACAUGCAAACAGAGUAGGCUGCUUAGAUGGUAAGGCUCUGUGUUGUGGUUGAUAGAACACCGUUUAAAAUUCUUUUGAAAAGUGUUACAUUCAUGUAUGAAGGUCUCAUUACCAAAGACAGAUCUUAUAAGGAGAAAAAAAAAUGGAAAUAUCACCUAGGGCACUUUGAUGUUUCAAUUUCGUCUGCACUAUUUGCAAUUUAUAGCCAAACCAAGUUAGUUUUGAGAACGAAUCCUGUAGCCCAAAACCAAUUUGUUACCAUGGCCAAGGUUGAUGUGCCCCCUUGUCAGUAAUAAUAUUUAUCUUUUUUUUUUUGGUCUAUUUAUCCAAUUUUUCUGAUAAAAAUUAAUAUGAUCAUGGAGUUACAAUAGAAUUUAAUGUUUACCCUAUAAAAUUAAUGUCAAUGAGAAUGAUGAAGAAUUGUGAAGGCAAUCAAGAAUAAGGAGUUGUAAUAAAUGACGAGAGGAUAGUGAAGAGUCAUUAGCAUGGGUUUUCUUCCUAACCAUGAUAAAUGGUUCCUAAAGCUUCAUUUUAAUUUUAUAGUUCAUCUUUUUCUAAAUUAAAUUGUUAUCGUGAUAAUAUUAUUUUUAUUGAUAUGAUAUAAGAUAUCAUCCAAUUUGACAAAUGACACGAUAAGACAGUAGCAUCUAUAAUUGAUAAAGGCUGGGGAACCCAAUAAAAGAGUAAUCAACCUUGAAUAUAUAUUAUUUCAGAGAUCUCCUGUUAUACCCCGUACAUUUAUACGACAAAUUAUCCGCAAGCAAAUCGACUCAAGUUAAAGGAGGAAUUAUUUUCGGACAUGAAAUAAGAGCUUUUAAUUUUCAACUUUGAUUAUCACAAAAAUUGAUUAAUUAAAGUUAGCCAAGUAAAUUAGUGGGACAUGUGUCAAUGUUAAGGGCUACUUAUAUAAAGCAUAAGAUGACUUAUAUUCCUCCAUUAUUCACAAAACUCAUCCAUCAAAGUAGAGUUAGUGAGAGAAGCUCUCAAGCCUAAAGAGAGAGAAGGUCACGGUGGCUACUGUUCACGGCGGCCACUGUUCAUGCCGCCACUGUUCACGGGCGGCGGCACUGUUCAUGGGCACUGUUCACGGCCAGCCCAUUUUUGCCCUCUUCUACACAAUUAAUUGGAGAAAUUUGAAGAUCAAGAGGAGGAAAAAUAUGGAGAUCAUGGUAGCCAUGGCAACUCACGGCUAUGGCUUUCUUGAAGACAUUUCAUGGUGAAAAAUUAGAGCUUGUCUCUAAGACCUUGGGGAGCCCGAGGCGUAGAUUUGGAUUAGCUUUAGAUUGGCUAUCUUGGAAGUGCGUUCGAGGUACAUCGCACAGUUUGGUGAUCCACCAGUUUAGGACACCCUCUUCUGCUGUUUGGAGUGCUCCUUUUAUUCCGGAGCCUACAUUUUGGUAUAUAUACUUGUUUGAUGCAUAUGUAUAUAUUUGUUCAGGGGUACGGCGGGGCCCUGUUCCGCCAUAUGAUCCGUUUGGUCUGUUUAGAGGUCUGUAGACGUAUUUGUGGGUGUGUGUGCCUACUUUUGUACGGGUGUGUUUGGUAUGAUCCCAUUCGUUAUGGCAGCCUUGUCGGCGUGCACUUUGUAUAUGUUUUGGGCCGUUGCGCCAUCUGUUAGCCUUGUCGGCUUUUGAUACAUCUGUUAGCCUUGUAGGCUUUUGAUACUUUUGAUAGCCUUGUCGGCUUUUGAUACAUUUGAUAGCCUUGCCGGCUUUUCGAUAUAAGUAUAUGUAUAUGUUUGCGCUGAAAUGUGUCCGAUACAGUUUGACAUAGUUUGAGACGACAUAUAGUG